rnacentral:rRNA from 1 species
CCUACGGGAGGCAGCAGUGAGGAAUAUUGGUCAAUGGGCGAGAGCCUGAACCAGCCAAGUCGCGUGAAGGAUGACGGCCCUACGGGUUGUAAACUUCUUUUGUCAGGGAGCAAUUGAGUCCACGUGUGGGCUUAGCGAGAGUACCUGAAGAAAAAGCAUCGGCUAACUCCGUGCCAGCAGCCGCGGUAAUACGGAGGAUGCGAGCGUUAUCCGGAUUUAUUGGGUUUAAAGGGUGCGUAGGCGGAAUAUAAAGUCAGCGGUAAAAAUUCGGGGCUCAACCCCGUCGUGCCGUUGAAACUGGUGGUCUUGAGUGGGCGAGAGGUAUGCGGAAUGCGUGGUGUAGCGGUGAAAUGCAUAGAUAUCACGCAGAACUCCGAUUGCGAAGGCAGCAUACCGGCGCGCAACUGACGCUGAAGCACGAAAGCGUGGGUAUCGAACAGGAUUAGAUACCCCAGUAGUC